AAGUCGUAACAAGGUUUCCGUAGGUGAACCUGCGGAAGGAUCAUUAAAGAAAUUUAAUAAUUUUGAAAAUGGAUUUUUUUGUUUUGGCAAGAGCAUGAGAGCUUUUACUGGGCAAGAAGACAAGAGAUGGAGAGUCCAGCCGGGCCUGCGCUUAAGUGCGCGGUUUUGCUAGGCCUGUAAGUUUCUUUCUUGCUAUUCCAAACGGUGAGAGAUUUCUGUGCUUUUGUUAUAGGACAAUUAAAACCGUUUCAAUACAACACACUGUGGAGUUUUCAUAUCUUUGCAACUUUUUCUUUGGGCAUUCGAGCAAUCGGGGCCCAGAGGUAACAAACACAAACAAUUUUAUUUAUUCAUUAAAUUUUUGUCAAAAACAAGAAUUUUCGUAACUGGAAAUUUUAAAAUAUUAAAAACUUUCAACAACGGAUCUCUUGGUUCUC
rnacentral:misc_RNA from 1 species